UCUCUGUUAGUAUAUCGGUUAGUACACGCGCCUGUCAUGUUCUGUACCGGUCGCGCGAAAGCGGGGUUCGACUCCCCGACAGAGAG